rnacentral:rRNA from 1 species
UACGUAGGGUGCGAGCGUUGUCCGGAAUUACUGGGCGUAAAGAGCUCGUAGGUGGUUUGUCGCGUUGUUCGUGAAAACCGGGGGCUUAACCCUCGGCGUGCGGGCGAUACGGGCAGACUUGAGUACUGCAGGGGAGACUGGAAUUCCUGGUGUAGCGGUGGAAUGCGCAAAUAUCAGGAGGAACACCGAUGGCGAAGGCAGGUCUCUGGGCACUUACUGACGCUGAGGAGCGAAAGCGUGGGGAGCGAACAGG